rfam:Herbaspirillum sp. CF444 PMI16_contig_23.23, whole genome shotgun sequence.
UGUCUCCUCCAAUUUCCUCCUAAAGAAUUGGAUUUAAGCCCGCAACCGCAAGGUGAGCGGGUUUUUUUUU